ensembl:lncRNA
GCGGAACUUCCGGGUUUAUGCAAGUUGUCAACAGUUUGCUAAAGAUAAAUAAACAUGUAGAUAGUGUGAGAGCAGAACGCUACACUUCUUUUUCCUGUAGAGAGAGACGGGUGGAGGGAGAGUAAAGACGGACAGACACCGCGGAAAGCAGAAGUAGCUAGUUAAAACUAGAAUGUAGUUAGUUACUGUAGUUAGUUAACUCACUUGUCCCAGGCCAGCUAACAGAUAACUCCAGCCUGCUCUCCCUCUCCGCGGCUCCUCUACUGAUGCCUGUCUCUGUCGGGGCUCCAUGGAAGAGCUGCUAGUACAGGGCGGACCGGGACUGCAGCAGACUCUCCUCACCCUUUGCCCCAUGCCCUGAUCCAAGUACGGUCCCUGCUCAUCUCUCCGGUCCAACGGGAUAUUAUAACCGUGGGGUGAGCCUGGAAACGGGAGCUACGGCCGAUAGAGCUAGCGGCGAUUGGGCGAGGAGUAUUUUUCCAACUCUUUCUACAAUUUUUAUAAAAGUCUGAUUUUAUAAAGUUGACAUUUAUUUAUCCCAACAUCCAACUGGUGAAGGUUAUGCAGUGUGUCUGUUCGGCUGUGAUGAGAUGUCGUCAUGUAAGUCAUAGAGGCGACCAUCAAACAAGGUACGUCGUCUUUCGCCUGAAACAAACUCUACCAAGAAGGAAAAACAAUACCAAAGAAAGUUGUGCAUCUGAAGAGCUCUGUGAAGGGGGAGGGAGAGAAGGGAUUGUAUUGAAAUGGACGGAACUUGUUGAUGGGUCAGGCUGUAUAGAGGCUUCGUUGUACGUUAUGACCGGUGACGUCACUGAGCGGAAUUACAUUCAAGCACGUAGCUGAGUGAUUGUUGAACCGAUAACAGUAAUACUUAGGGUUAUAGCUGUCCUCUAUGAAGACCUUAACAACGGUCCUACUGUAGGUAUGAUACACAGACUGUAGAGUUAACUGUUCUAGUUAUCAUACACAUACUGGAGAGUUAACUGGUCUAGGUAUGAUACACAUACUGUAGAGUUACCAACUGGUCUAGUUAUGAUAUAGACUGUAGAGUUACCAACUGGUCUAGUUAUGAUAUAGACUGUAGAGUUACCAACUGGUCUAGUUAUGAUAUAGACUGUAGAGUUACCAACUGGUCUAGUUAUGAUAUAGACUGUAGAGUUACCAACUGGUCUAGUUUGAUACACAGACUGUAGAGUUACCAACUGGUCUAGUUUGAUACACAGACUGUAGAGUUACCAACUGGUCUAGUUAUUAUAUAGACUGUAGAGUUACCAACUGGUCUAGUUAUGAUAUAGACUGUAGCUCGAGCUUCCUGUUCUGGGUGAGUAAUGGAGUGAGGUGCGCAAAUAUCACUCAAUAUUAUCACCCUUUUUUUUGCUUAAAAUGCUAUAAAAUUACAACUGGCCUAAUAUUUAAAUGUUAAAAUGACCACUGGCCUAAUAUUAACACCGGCCUAAUAUUUAAAUAGUAACACUGGCCUAAUAUUUAAAUGUUAACAUUGGCCUAAUAUUUAAAUAUUAAUAUUAACACUGGCCUAAUAUUUAAAUAUUAAUAUUAACACUGGCCUAAUAUUUAAAUGUUAAAAUGACCACUGGCCUAAUAUUAAUAUUAACACCGGCCUAAUAUUUAAAUAUUAACACUGGCCUAAUAUUUAAAUGUUAACAUUGGCCUAAUAUUUAAAUAUUAACACUGGCCUAAUAUUUAAAUAUUAAUAUUAACACUGGCCUAAUAUUUGUAUAUCAGAGAAGUAAAAGAUCGGACCCAUGUUGCUAGUAGCUGUUUCUCAACGUAAAGCGGAGCAACAACCAGCACCAAACACAGUCAACACCAGGUACAAGGCUGAUGUAUCUACAAUGUUCCAGCAGUAGUGGCUAUCAUGAAAGUGCUAAAUAAGUACAUUCAAUGAACCUUUUGCAGCACUUGAAAUUGAUGUGAAAGCCCAGGGAGUACAGGUUACAGACUUGGAAAUGUCACCAACUGACAUGGGCGAUUGGGUUACUGGGCUGGAGAAGACUCAGGAGUCCCUCACCAACUGACAUGGGUACUGGAGAAGACUCAGGAGUCCCUCACCAACUGACAUGGGUACUGGAGAAGACUCAGGAAUCCCUCACCAACUGACAUGGGUACUGGAGAAGACUCAGGUACUGGAGAAGACUCAGGAGUCCCUCACCAACUGACAUGGGUACUGGAGAAGACUUGGGAAUCCCUCACCAACUGACAUGGGUACUGGAGAAGACUCGGGAAUCCCUCACCAACUGACAUGGGUACUAGAGAAGACUCAGGUACUGGAGAAGACUCGGGAAUCCCUCACCAACUGACAUGGGUACUGGAGAAGACUUAGGUACUGGAGAAGACUCAGGAAUCCCUCACCAACUGACAUGGGUACUGGAGAAGACUCAGGAAUCCCUCACCAACUGACAUGGGUACUGGAGAAGAUACCAAACCAUCAAGAUACCAAACCAUCAAAAUCACAGGCCUGCCCGAGAUAGUGAAACUACCACAGGCUACCACCUUUACUGCUAAUCUGUUGAUGGAGAUCUUGGGGAGGAGUUGCUGUCACAGUCACCUGAGGUUGCCGGUGAGGUUCCAUCAAUACUCAGUGAAGGAUAGUGUCCUCCACUCAGCAACAGAAAAACUCUUGAGUUCCAAGGGUCUGAACUCCGGCUGAUCCCUAGCUACUACAGCGAGGUGACCAAGGACCGGCCAGCUACUAAAGCAAGGUGACCAAGGACCGGCCAGCUACUACAGCGAGGUGACCAAGGACCGGCCAGCUACUACAGCGAGGUGACCAAGGACCGGCCAGCUACUACAGCAAGGUAACCAAGGACCAGCCAGCUACUACAGCAAGGUGACCAAGGACCGGCCAGCUACUACAGCUACUACAGCAAGGUGACCAAGGACCGGCCAGCUACUACAGCAAGGUGACCAAGGACCGGCCAGCUACUACAGCGAGGUGACCAAGGACCGGCCAGCUACUACAGCGAGGUGACCAAGGACCGGCCAGCUACGACAGCGAGGUGACCAAGGACCGGCCAGCUACUACAGCGAGGUGACCAAGGACCGGCCAGCUACUACAGCGAGGUGACCAAGGGCCGGCCAGCUACUACAGCGAGGUGACCAAGGACCGGCCAGCUACUACAGCGAGGUGACCAAGGACCGGCCAGCUACUACAGCGAGGUGACCAAGGACCGGCCAGCUACUACAGCGAGGUAACCAAGGCCCAGCCAGCUACUACAGCGAGGUGACCAAGGACCGGCCAGCUACUACAGCUACUACAGCAAGGUGACCAAGGACCGGCCAGCUACUACAGCGAGGUGACCAAGGACCGGCCAGCUACUACAGCGAGGUGACCAAGGACCGGCCAGCUACUACAGCAAGGUGACCAAGGACCGGCCAGCUACUACAGCUACUACAGCAAGGUAACCAAGGACCGGCCAGCUACUACAGCUACUACAGCAAGGUGACCAAGGACUGGCCAGCUACUACAGCGAGGUGACCAAGGACCGGCCAGCUACUACAGCGAUGCGACCAAGGACCGGCCAGCUACUACAGCGAGGCGACCAAGGACCGGCCAGCUACUACAGCGAGGCGACCAAGGACCGGCCAGCUACUACAGCGAGGCGACCAAGGACCGGCCAGCUGCUACAGCGAGGCGACCAAGACCGGCCAGCUGCUACAGCGAGGCGACCAAGGACCGGCCAGCUGCUACAGCGAGGCGACCAAGGACCG